rnacentral:rRNA from 1 species
UACGUAGGUGGCAAGCGUUGUCCGGAUUUAUUGGGUUUAAAGGGUGCGUAGGCGGUCCUCUAAGUCAGUUGUGAAAUACUUCAGCUUAACUGGAGAGGUGCAAUUGAUACUGGAGGACUUGAGUACUGAUGAGGUAGGCGGAAUGGACGGUGUAGCGGUGAAAUGCUUAGAUAUCGUCCAGAACACCGAUAGCGAAGGCAGCUUACUAAGGAGUAACUGACGCUGAGGCACGAAAGUGUGGGGAUCAAACAGG